rnacentral:rRNA from 1 species
CCCUUAGAUGUCCUGGGCCGCACGCGCGCUACACUGAGUGUCUGAGAUACGAGUCCGCCUGGUCCGGCAAGGUCUAGGUAAUCGCUAAAAGACACAUCAUGCUUGGGAUAGAUUAUUGCAAAUAUUAAUCUUGAACGAGGAAUUCCUAGUAAGCGCAAGUCAACAGCUUGCGUUGAUUACGUCCCUGCCCUUUGUACACACCGCCCGUCGCUACUACUGAUUGGAUGUUUAAGCGAGGUUCUCGAACUGCUAGCGACUUAGCUUCGGUGAGGUCGCAGUGUGGGAAGUGAACCUAGCUUUGGUGUCUAGAGGAAGUAAAAGUCGUAACA